rnacentral:rRNA from 1 species
CCUACAGGUGGCAGCAGUGGGGAAUAUUGGGCAAUGGGCGCAAGCCUGACCCAGCAACGCCGCGUGAAGGAAGAAGGCCCUCGGGUUGUAAACUUCUUUUAUCAAGGACGAAACAAAUGACGGUACUUGAUUAAUAAGUCACCGCCAACUACGUGCGAGCAGCCGCGGGAAUACGUAGGUGGCGAGCGUUCUUCGGAUAUACUGGGUGUAAAGGGCGUGUAGGAGGGACUGCAAGUCAGUUGUGAAAACCAUGGGCUCAAACCAUGGCCUGGAUUUGAAAAUGUAGUUCUUGAGUGUUAGAGAGGCAAGCGGAACUACAUGUGUAGCGGUGAAAUGCGUAGAUAUACGGAAGAACACCAGUGGCGAAGGCGGCCUGCUGGA